rnacentral:rRNA from 1 species
UACGAAGGGGGCUAGCGUUGUUCGGAAUCACUGGGCGUAAAGCGCACGUAGGCGGAUCUUUAAGUCAGGGGUGAAAUCCCGAGGCUCAACCUCGGAACUGCCUUUGAUACUGGGGAUCUCGAGUCCGGGAGAGGUGAGUGGAACUGCGAGUGUAGAGGUGAAAUUCGUAGAUAUUCGCAAGAGCACCAGUGGCGAAGGCGGCUCACUGGCCCGGAACUGACGCUGAGGUGCGAAAGCGUGGGGAGCAAACAGG